CUCGCCAACAAGCCGAACAACGCCGUUGGCGAAUCCGCCAAGUGGAUCGUCAAGAUCAAUCGUCAUCAGUUCGCCAACCAAGUCGCUGGCGUGUAAGGAGCUAAUCACAUGCCUGCUGGAACAAUCACCACUGGUAAUCAUCCUAAAGCCCUUUGGCCUGGGAUGCAUGCAUUCUUCGGUACGACCUACGGCGAGUACCAGGAAGAGUGGCGCGACCUCGUUACGGUCGNNNNNNNNNNNNNUACGAGGAAGACACGCUCGUUACUGGCUUCGGUCAGAUGCCCAUCAAGCCGGAAGGCUCUGGUGUCAGCUAUGAUUCCGAAACUCAGGGCUUCACCAAGCGCUACACCCAUACGGUGUGGGGCCUUGGUUACAUCGUCACGCAGGAAGAGCUUGAAGAUAACCUCUAUGAGGUCGUCUCCAAGAAGCGCAUCAAGCGCCUUGCCUUCUCUGCGCGCCAGACCAAGGAGAACGUUGUCGCGAACGUCUACAAUCGCGCCUUCACCUCCGGCUACACUGGCGGCGACGGCGUAGUCCUUCUCUCGACUGCGCAUCCGUCGACCGCUGGCAACUGGUCGAACAAGCUCGCUACCGACGCCGACCUGUCGGAAGCCGCGCUUGAAGACAUGAUGAUCCAGAUUGCUCAGGCAAAGAACGAUCGCGGUCACGUCAUCAACCUCAAAGCUAUGAAGUUGAUCGUGCCGUCGAACCUUAUGUUCGAUGCCAAGCGCAUUCUGAAGUCCGAUCAGCAGUCUGGCUCCGCGAACAACGACAUCAAUGCCCUGAAGGGAAUGCUUGACUAUUCGGUCAAUCACUACCUGACGGACACCGAUGCGUGGU
rnacentral:misc_RNA from 1 species